rnacentral:ncRNA from 1 species
CUUAUCUCUAAGGGGUGCUUCUUUUUUUAGAGGCUGAGAUUAUACCCAUUGAACCUGGGCGGGUAAUGCCGCUAAGGGAAGGCACUCAGGUGCUUC